CCCUUAGAUGUUCUGGGCCGCACGCGCGCUACACUGACGAAGUCAGCGAGCAUGUCCUACGCCGACAGGUGCGGGGAAUCUUGUCAAACUUCGUCGUGAUGGGGAUUGAUUUUUGAAAUUCUUGAUCAUAAACGAGGAAUUCCUAGUAAGCGCAAGUCAGCAGCUUGCGUUGAUUACGUCCCUGCCCUUUGUACACACCGCCCGUCGCUACUACCGAUUGAAUGGUUUAGUGAGAUCUUCGGAUUGGCGCCACUGCAGCUCAGCAAUGGGCUUGGUGGAUGUCGAAAAGUUGAUCAAACUUGAUCAUUUAGAGGAAGUAAAAGUCGUAACA
rnacentral:rRNA from 1 species